GCCAGGUUUGGUGGUGUGCACCUGUAGUCCCAGCUACUCAGGAGGCUGAGGUGGGAGGAUCACUUGAGCCCCGGAGGUCAGGGCUGCAGUGAGCCAUGAUUGUGCCACUGCACUCCAGCCUGGGCAACAGAGCAAGACCCUAUCUCAA
ensembl:misc_RNA Metazoa_SRP Metazoan signal recognition particle RNA